rnacentral:rRNA from 1 species
GAUGAACGCUGGCGGCGUGCCUAAUACAUGCAAGUCGAGCGAAUGGAUCAAGAGCUUGCUCUUAUGAAGUUAGCGGCGGACGGGUGAGUAACACGUGGGUAACCUGCCCAUAAGACUGGGAUAACUCCGGGAAACCGGGGCUAAUACCGGAUAACAUUUUGAACCGCAUGGUUCGAAAUUGAAAGGCGGCUUCGGCUGUCACUUAUGGAUGGACCCGCGUCGCAUUAGCUAGUUGGUGAGGUAACAGCUCACCAAGGCAACGAUGCGUAGCCGACCUGAGAGGGUGAGCGGCCACAAUGGGACUGAGACACGGCCCAGACUCCUACGGGAGGCAGCAGUAGGGAAUCUUCCGCAAUGGACGAAAGUCUGACGGAGCAACGCCGCGUGAGUGAUGAAGGCUUUCGGGUCGUAAAACUCUGUUGUUAGGGAAGAACAAGUGCUAGUUGAAUAAGCUGGCACCUUGACGGUACCUAACCAGAAAGCCACGGCUAACUACGUGCCAGCCGCCGCAGUAA